rnacentral:rRNA from 1 species
UACGUAGGGGGCAAGCGUUGUCCGGAUUUAUUGGGCGUAAAGAGCGUGUAGGCGGUUCGGUAGGUCCGUUGUGAAAACUCGAGGCUCAACCUCGAGACGUCGGUUGAAACCGUAUGGCUAGAGUCCGGAAGAGGAGAGUGGAAUUCCCGGUGUAGCGGUGAAAUGCGCAGAUAUCGGGAAGAACACCCGUGGCGAAGGCGGCUCUCUGGGACGGUACUGACGCUGAGACGCGAAAGCGUGGGGAGCGAACAGG